UUUAUGAAACACCUCGUGCAGAACAUAUCGACGAAAGUUUGUUUUAUUGACAUUCUGUCGACAGACAUAAAUAACGUGCAAGGUAUUGGGUUUGUUGUUAAUGUUGCCUUGUGGAAUCACCAAAACAAAGUAUAGAUUUGAUUGAGGUGGAACACGGAAAGCUAAUAGAUUGCUCAAGGUAAUUAAACGAGGCCUAAUUUUGGUUUCGUUACGAGACUUUACAAGUCAAUACGCCUCAGUAAUGUAUGAAAGAUCAUCCCUUUUGUGAACAAAACUUAUAAGGAAUGCGCUGUUACGAAAAUAGCGGAUUUGAACCCAUGGCCCGGUUGAUUAGAGUCAUGCACUGAUAUCGCAGAGAUAGUGCCUUCGAAUCCCGUUCAAGCUUGAUAUUAAUUUCGCUUUAUUUUUUUCGAAAGUGUCCAAGUUGCGUUCACACUGCGAUGUUCUUUCAUGUGACAUGUCUUUCUCUCGCAGUUCAACUAUAUGAUAUUAUAUAUUCACUUGCUUAAACCGCAGUGACUGGAACCUAAAAUCAAAGCAGCCUAAAAAUUGUCUGUUGGCUGUGGUUUUAUUACUUCGUUUACCGUGGAGAACGCCGACAGACGUUUACCCGCCCUAGCCUUUGGCGCGCGGAGAGAGAUUUCACUGUGGUUUAUUUUCUGGCAGCUCUGGACUUGCACAUUGGAUAUUCGCUCUUCUUGGUAUUUGGGAUGCAUGGGCUCGCAAAUUUCCUUAAGACAGUACUACAACUCUGCGGUGAGACUUUUCACGCUUAGUCGCAGAAACUCGAGUGCUCCAUACGUUCUGAGGGUAAACAACAAUAUACCAGGGACAAAUAUAUUCUGUGGGAAGAUAAUCAAUUUGGUUAUAGACUGCAGAGUGAUACAGACUACACAACGAGUCCAAUUUGAUUCAGGCUGCCUUCUUUUCAAGCUUGAAGGAAAUACCACAUAACGCUGGAGAACCCUGGAUAUGAUGUACAGAUGUAAAGUCCCAAGCUUAUUUUCCAGCUAUUAGACCUAUUAGAAAAAUAUGGUUGUAAGUUAAUAUAAUAUUAGGAUUAGAAUUUUAGGUUUAGGAUCUUAGACAUUUUAUUAGACUUUAUUUUACCUGAAUUUUUUACCGUGUAUAAAUAAUGAUUAAAGAUCAAAGAUUAAAGAUUAAAGAACAACCUGUUUAUAGACUCAUCGAGGAGUUUUCAAUGCCAGAAGAGGAUGGACCUGAGCAAGAUGGUGUUAAUGACCAAGAGGAGGAACCUUAUCUUGAACCUGUAGAUUCAGAUGGAACUGCCCAUUAUAAUGCAACAUCGCCAGAAGAACCAGUUUACCACACUUUGGAAGAGUUACACAAAGAAACUCAGUGAUUAUCCUAACAUCAUCAAUGAACCAAUCUAUAACGUUCUUGAGUAGGAGCUUUAUCCAUAAGUCCUAGCAGAUGGCAAUAAUUAUGGUUUAGAGGGAUAGAAUAGACAAGGAGAUAAAUAAACAAAUAAACAACCAUUGUAUUUGUUCGUUCAGAUGAGAUUCAAACGAAAACACGUUAAAGAAAUAUCGAGGUGUUAAUAAUGUACAGUCUUGAACGUACCCUAAAAAUUGAACGGUGAAGGAAAACAAAGUAAACAGAUGUCUUAGUUGUUGCUAUACAUGUAUCAGAGGUCGUAUAAAGGGAAUUGAAAUAAAUUUUUUUUUUUAGAAGUA
rnacentral:lncRNA from 1 species